rnacentral:rRNA from 1 species
CCUACGGGAGGCAGCAGUGGGGAAUAUUGCACAAUGGGGGAAACCCUGAUGCAGCGACGCCGCGUGAGUGAAGAAGUAUUUCGGUAUGUAAAGCUCUAUCAGCAGCGAAGAAAACUACGGUACCUAAUUAAGAAGCCCCUGCUAACUACGUGCCAGCAGCCACGGUAAUACGGCGGGGCCAAGAGUUAUCCGGUUUUACUGGGUGUAAAGGGAGCGUAGACGGCAGCUCAAGUCUGGAGUGAAAUGCCGGGGCUUAACCCCGGAACUGCUUUGGAAACUGUGCAGCUAGAGUGCAGGAGAGGUAAGUAGAAUUCCUAGUGUAGCGGUGAAAUGCGUAGAUAUGAGGAGGAACACCAGUGGCGAAGGCAGCUUACUGGACUGUAACUGACGUUGAGGUUCGAAAGCGUGGGGAGCAAACAGGAUUAGAUACCCCUGUAGUC